UGCUUAGGUCACCCAUUCUUGCAAGAAUGUAAAUAAACUGUGCUUCCCUGAAGGAUCUGUGUGGGCCUGCUCAUUGGCACGACAGACGUUUCUCACAAAUUUUAGGGGCUCGUCUGGGAGCUGAAGUCAUCAUCCAGGGAGCCGUCACCUCUGAAGAACGGAAAGGUGCACCCCGUUGAGUUCAACGGUUCCGUGGAUCGGCGGCGCUGGCUCCAGGGAGACUGACCAAGACCCGAGACUGGUUAUAAACAGAUCCCACGAACCACAGAGGGGGAAAUAAAGGAUAAAGGAAAGUAGGCGCCCUGAUAUCGACCAGGCAGACUCUGUGCACAGACCAAGGCACCAAGGGUUCUUGGCGCAGACUCCACCCUUGGAAUCUGCAGUGCAUCGAUUUCAGCCUGGAGACUGGGUCCUGGUUAAAUCCUGGAAAGAAGCCAAACUCCAACCAACCUGGGAAGGACCACUUCAAGUUCUGUUGACUACAGAGACUGCCAUCUGGACAGCUGAGAAAGGGUGGACUCAUUAUACCUGACUCAAAGGAUCAGUAGAGGCUCCACCUGAGAAGGAACAGUGGCAGGCCUACCCAGCUGAAAACCCCUUGUGCCUUAAACUGAAGAAGCACUAGAAUUGAUCCAUGCUAACUGAUGAAGUAGAGUUUGCAGUAAUUCUGGUUAUUGCAGUUAUUGGGUUAAUGUUUAUCUGUUGUGUGGAAAAACAUCGGUUCUGUGGGCAUAAAAGGAGAAGAGAACCUUUUAGUGAAAAUGAGGGGGAUCAUCAUAAUAGUGAGUUGUUGUCUGUGGAUCCAAAAGUAGUAACCUUGACAGAGGUCAAGGAUGUAAAGCAAACCUUUGAAAUUGAAACUGGAUAUGGAGAGACAAAUGCCUGGGUAGAAUGGGUCAAAUAUACAGUGCAAAGUUUGAAUCAAAGUAAUUGUUAUGCUUGUGCCUCAGGGAGGCCUAUGGCACAGAUAGUUCCUUUUCCAUUGGGGUGGAGCAAAGACCCACAGGGAAUGAAAUGCAUGAUUGCUUGAUAUCAAGACACAACUGCAUGGGGUGAUGAGGCUUGCAAGUCUCUAUCGCUGCUUUUUCCUGCUGUACAGAUCAAGGACCUCAGAGUGCCUUCUGCUUUCUCUGUAGUGCCCGGUAACCAUACAGCUUGUCUCUCACGAUAUCGGAGCUUUGGAGAUGUGUAUUGAGUCACUGAAUGUGACUGGUGACAAAGCAGGAAACUACUCAGCUAUGAGUGUCCCCAGGGCAGAUCUGUGGUGGUAUUGUGGAGGAAAAAUUCUAAGGUCUGUGCUCCCUUACAAUUGGAAAGGUACCUGUGCUCUUAUUCAAUUGGCCAUUCCAUUCACCCUGGCAUAUGUAAAAGAGCCUCAUGUUGGGAGAGAGAGAACAAAAAGAGGUCUAGGGAUAUCAUUUGAUGAUAGGAUUUACAUUGAUGCUAUUGGGGUCCCCAGGGGAGUUCCUGAUGAGCACAAAGCUAGAAAUCAGAUAGCUGCAGGAUUUGAGUCCUUCCUGUUCUGGUGGGUAACAGUAAAUUAUAUUUAUUAUAACCAAAGGUUCAUCAACUAUACGAGGGAUGCAGUCAAAGGAAUUGCAGAACAACUGGAUGCCACCAGUAGGAUGGCAUGGGAAAAUAGAAUAGCAUUAGACAUGAUACUGGCAGAAAAGGGGGGUGUAUGUGUAAUGCUGGGGAAUAAGUGCUGUACUUUUAUUCCAAAUAAUACUGCCCCUACAAUAACUAAGGCACUGCAAGGACUCACUACUCUGGCAGAUGAAUUAGCAGAAAAUUUGGGAAUAGAUAGCUCACUCACUGGAUGGUUAGAGUCCUGGUUUGGGAAAUGGAAGGAGACGAUAAUUUCCAUUUUAACAUCCUUAAUUAUAAUAACGCUGACACAAUGCUAUUAUUAGAUGAGCAAAAUCCAGACUGUCUCUCCCCUGAAGAGAGAUGUGAAAUCAUGUUGUUCGAACUAGAGGCAUCUUACAAAACAACCUGAGAUAAUGCAAAAAGCAACAGUAGGGUAAAUAAAAGAAGGGGGAAUUGUUAGAAAUUAAAUGUAAUGUUGAUUUUGCAUUCUAGUGUUAGAAACAUAGUGUUGGGUUUGGCUCACAUAUAUAUAUAUAUAUAUACACACUUUAGUGUUAGGAAUAUAAUAGUUUGAGAUAAGUGAGAUAUCUGCACAUUCCAAUUAUACCAAGAGUGGUUUACGGCCAAGAAACUGAGAGACUUAAUUGGGCUCCAUCUGGGGGAUCUGAACAUGGAGAAGGAUUUAUGGCCCAAGAUAAGGCCGAACAAAGCUACUUCUAUGUUGCUCCUCAGGGCAGGAUGACAACAGUAGAUUGUUAAUUGGGAAGGCAGCCAAGGGGGCAAGAAAGGUCAAAAUUUGACCUUAAAAGGUAAAAAGUAACCUGCUAGAAUGGAAUGUGUAAACAGGGGCGGGAAACUUAUACGAUAAUUUGAAGCGUCGGAUGGGCUGUAAACCCUGGGGUACCCAGCCAGUGGGGAAACAGGGGAGGGAACUUUGCGUCGGGAAUAGGGAACAUAAACCAUUAUUCACCUUGCUAUGGGUGUGCCUACUUGCUUAGGUCACCCAUUCUUGCAAGAAUGUAAAUAAACUGUGCUUCGCUGAA